CUUUGGGAUAACCCUCGGAAACGGGGGCUAAUACCGGAUAUGACCUUUCCUCGCAUGAGGGUUGGUGGAAAGUUUUUCGGCCUGGGAUGGGGUCGCGGCCUGUCAGCUUGUUGGUGGGGUGAUGGCCUACCAAGGCGACGACGGGUAGCCGGCCUGAGAGGGCGACCGGCCAUACUGGGACCGAGACACGGCCCAGACUCCUACGGGAGGCAGCAGUGGGGAAUAUUGCACAAUGGGCGGAAGCCUGAUGCAGCGACGCCGCGUGAGGGAUGACGGCCUUCGGGUUGUAAACCUCUUUCAGCAGGGACGAAGCGUAAGUGACGGUACCUGCAGAAGAAGCGCCGGCCAACUACGUGCCAGCAGCCGCGGUAAGACGUAGGGCGCGAGCGUUGUCCGGAUUUAUUGGGCGUAAAGAGCUCGUAGGCGGCUUGUCGCGUCGACCGUGAAAACCUGGGGCUCAACCCCAGGCCUGCGGUCGAUACGGGCAGGCUAGAGUUCGGUAGGGGAGACUGGAAUUCCUGGUGUAGCGGUGAAAUACGCAGACAUCAGGAGGAACACCGGUGGCGAAGGCGGGUCUCUGGGCCGAUACUGACGCUGAGGAGCGAAAGCGUGGGGAGCGAACAGGAUUAGAUACCCUGGUAGUCCACGCUGUAAACGUUGGGCGC
rnacentral:rRNA from 1 species